CGAUGGCCUUUCCUAGAUCACAGCCUCACAUCAUGGGUAAGGAAGAGAAGCCCAGAGCUAACUGCACCACAAAGAAGAGGGAGAUCGAAAUCUUCGCUACGACGUCCAUUUCUCACUAAAGCCUGUGGUGAAGGUUGACUCCGGGAUAAUGCAGCGCUGAGACUUGCUCCUUGAGAAAGGAUGUGAGUGGAGGUUGUAGGCCGUUACACCUGCACUGUGUCUUGAGACCCUCCCCAGGGUUUUCAAUG